rnacentral:rRNA from 1 species
AGAGUUUGAUCCUGGCUCAGGACAAACGCUGGCGGCGUGCCUAACACAUGCAAGUCGAGCGCGAAAGGGACCUUCGGGUCCCCGGUAGAGCGGCGAACGGGUGAGUAACACGUGGGCAACCUGCCUCAAGGACUGGGAUAACUCCGGGAAACCGGGGCUAAUACCGGGCGAUGUCGUCUCGCGCAAGCGAGCCGACCAAAUGGUAGCUUCGGCCUCCGCCUUGAGAUGGGCCCGCGUCCUAUCAGCUUGUUGGUGAGGUAACGGCUCACCAAGGCUACGACGGGUAGCUGGUCUGAGAGGACGACCAGCCAGAAUGGGACUGAGACACGGCCCAUACUCCUACGGGAGGCAGCAGUGAGGAAUAUUCCGCAAUGGGCGAAAGCCUGACGGAGCGACACCGCGUGAAGGAUGACACCCCUUGGGGCGUAAACUUCUGUUCUGAGGGACGAAAUUUUUGACGGUACCUCAGGAGAAAGCACCGGCUAAUUCCGUGCCAGCAGCCGCGGUAAGACGGAAGGUGCAAGCGUUACUCGGAAUCACUGGGCGUAAAGCGUCCGCAGGCGACUUUGUAAGUCUGGCGUGAAAGCACUCGGCUCAACCGAGUGUCUGUGCCGGAAACUGCAGAGAUUGAGUCAUUCAGAGGCAUCCGGAAUGCCAUGUGAAGGGGUAAAAUCCGUUGAUACAUGGUAGAACGCCAAAAGCGAAGGCAGGAUGCUUGGGAUGUACUGACGCUAAGGGACGAAAGCGUGGGGAGCGAAGGGGAUUAGAUACCCCCGUAGUCCACGCCCUAAACUAUGCGUGCUCGGUGUUGGGAUUUCAAUCUUCCCAGUGCCCUAAGUUAACACAGUAAGCACGCCGCCUGAGUAGUACGACCGCAAGGUUAAAACUUAAAGGAAUUGACGGGGGCCCGCACAAGCGGUGGAGCAUGUGGUUUAAUUCGAUGCAACGCGAGGAACCUUACCUGGGUUUGAACUGCUGAGGAUCGAUGUAGAGAUACUUCCUUCCCUUAGGGGACUUCAGUGGAGGUGCUGCAUGGCUGUCGUCAGCUCGUGCCGUGAGGUGUUGGGUUAAGUCCCGCAACGAGCGCAACCCCUACCCUUAGUUACCAGCGGAUUAUGCCGGGGACUUUAGGGGGACUGCCGGCGUCAAGCCGGAGGAAGGUGGGGACGACGUCAAGUCAUCAUGGCCUUUAUGUCCAGGGCUACACACGUGCUACAAUGGGCGGUACAGAGGGUUGCGAAGCCGCGAGGUGGAGCCAAUCCCAGAAAGCCGUCCUCAGUUCGGAUUGCAGUCUGCAACUCGACUGCAUGAAGUUGGAAUCGCUAGUAAUCGCGUAUCAGAGCGACGCGGUGAAUACGUUCCCGGGCCUUGUACACACCGCCCGUCACAUCACAGAAGUCGGUUGCACCAGAAGCCAGUGGGCCAACCCCUCGGGGAGGCAGCUGUCGCAGGUGUGAUUGGCAACUGGGGUGAAGUCGUAACAAGGUAACC